GGGCCUAUACAUUGGCAAGUCGAACGCACAGCGAAAGGUGCUUGCACCUUUCAAGUGAGUGGCGAACGGGUGAGUAACACGUGGACAACCUGCCUCAAGGCUGGGGAUAACAUUUGGAAACAGAUGCUAAUACCGAAUAAAACUUAGUGUCGCAUGACACAAAGUUAAAAGGCGCUUCGGCGUCACCUAGAGAUGGAUCCGCGGUGCAUUAGUUAGUUGGUGGGGUAAAGGCCUACCAAGACAAUGAUGCAUAGCCGAGUUGAGAGACUGAUCGGCCACAUUGGGACUGAGACACGGCCCAAACUCCUACGGGAGGCUGCAGUAGGGAAUCUUCCACAAUGGGCGAAAGCCUGAUGGAGCAACGCCGCGUGUGUGAUGAAGGCUUUCGGGUCGUAAAGCACUGUUGUAUGGGAAGAACAGCUAGAAUAGGAAAUGAUUUUAGUUUGACGGUACCAUACCAGAAAGGGACGGCUAAAUACGUGCCAGCAGCCGCGGUAAUACGUAUGUCCCGAGCGUUAUCCGGAUUUAUUGGGCGUAAAGCGAGCGCAGACGGUUUAUUAAGUCUGAUGUGAAAGCCCGGAGCUCAACUCCGGAAUGGCAUUGGAAACUGGUUAACUUGAGUGCAGUAGAGGUAAGUGGAACUCCAUGUGUAGCGGUGGAAUGCGUAGAUAUAUGGAAGAACACCAGUGGCGAAGGCGGCUUACUGGACUGCAACUGACGUUGAGGCUCGAAAGUGUGGGUAGCAAACAGGAUUAGAUACCCUGGUAGUCCACACCGUAAACGAUGAACACUAGGUGUUAGGAGGUUUCCGCCUCUUAGUGCCGAAGCUAACGCAUUAAGUGUUCCGCCUGGGGAGUACGACCGCAAGGUUGAAACUCAAAGGAAUUGACGGGGACCCGCACAAGCGGUGGAGCAUGUGGUUUAAUUCGAAGCAACGCGAAGAACCUUACCAGGUCUUGACAUCCUUUGAAGCUUUUAGAGAUAGAAGUGUUCUCUUCGGAGACAAAGUGACAGGUGGUGCAUGGUCGUCGUCACCUCCUGUCCUGAGAUGUUGGGUUAAGUCCCGCACCAGCGCACCCCUCUUUGUUAUUUGCCGCAUUCCAAAGGGGCCUCUACCGAGAAUGCGGUGACAAACCGAAGAAAGGGGGGGA
rnacentral:rRNA from 1 species